UACAGAGGGGGCAAGCGUUGUUCGGAAUUACUGGGCGUAAAGGGCGCGUAGGCGGCCUGCUAAGUCGAACGUGAAAUCCCCGGGCUCAACCCGGGAAGUGCACUCGAUACUGCCACGCUAGAGUAUCGGAGAGGUUGGUGGAAUUCUCGGUGUAGAGGUGAAAUUCGUAGAUAUCGAGAGGAACACCGGUGGCGAAGGCGGUCUGCUGGGCAGUUUCUGACACUGAGGCGCGACAGCGUGGGGAGCAAACAGG
rnacentral:rRNA from 1 species